rnacentral:rRNA from 1 species
GGGGAAGAAUUUUGACGGUACCCAAGGAAUAAGCCUCGGCUAACUACGUGCCAGCAGCCGCGGUAAUACGUAGGAGGCGAACGUUAUUCGGAUUUACUGGGCGUAAAGGGAGCGUAGGCGGUUCUUUAAGUCGGAUGUGAAAUCUUCCGGCUCAAUCGGAAGGGGCCAUUUGAUACUGGGGGACUUGAGGGCAGCAAAGGGAAAUGGAAUUCCCGGUGUAGCGGUGAAAUGCGUAAAUAUUGGGAAGAACACCAGUGGCGAAGGCGGUUUCCCGGGUUGUUUCUGACGCUGAGGCUCGAAAGCGUGGGGAGCGAACCGGAUUAAAUACCCGGGUAGUCCACGCCCUAAACGGUGGACACU